AUUGAACGCUGGCGGCAGGCCUAACACAUGCAAGUCGAGCGGAGCGGCCGACGGACGAGUAAUUCAUAGGAAGCUGCCUGGUCGAGGGGGAUAACGUCCGGCAACGGGCGCUAAUAACGCAUACUCUCAGAUGAGCCAAGGUCGGAUUAGCUAGUUGGUGGGGUAAAGGCUUACCAAGCCGACGAUCCUUAACUGGUCUGAGAGGAUGAUCAGUCACACUGGGACUGAGACACGGCCCAGACUCCUCCGGGAGGCAGCAUUGGUGAAUAUUGGACAAUGGGCGAAAGCCUGAUGCAGCCAUGCCGCGGGUGUGAAGAAGGUCUUCGGAGUGUAAAGCACUUUAAGUUGGGAGGCGUUACCAACAGAAUAAGCACCGGCUAACGUCGUGCCAGCAGCCGCGGUAAUUG
rnacentral:rRNA from 1 species